AACGAACGCUGGCGGCAUGCCUAACACAUGCAAGUCGAACGAAAACUCCGGGUCUUUGGGCGCACGGGUGCGGAAGGCGUGGGAAUCUGCCCUUGGGUACGGAAUACCAGUUGGAAACGACUGCUAAUACCGGAUGAUGACGUAAGUCCAAAGAUUUAUUGCCCCAGGAUGAGCCCGGGUAGGAUUAGCUAGUUGGGGAGGUAAAGGCUCACCAAGGCGAGGAUCCUUAGCUGGUCUGAGAGGAGGAUCAGCGAGACUGGAAAGGAGGCACGGCCCAGACUCGUACGGGAGGGAGCGGAAGGGUGUAUUAGAGACGGGGCGAGAGUGUGGCAAAGCCGCGUCGCGUAAGACAGGAUUGGGGUAGGAGAGCAAAUCUGUUUGUCACGAGGCGAGAGUGACAGUAACGGGAGAAGAAGCACCGGCUAACUCCGUG
rnacentral:rRNA from 1 species